AACGUAGGUGGCGAGCGUUAUCCGGAUUUACUGGGCGUAAAGGGUGUGCAGGCGGGCUGUUAAGUGGUGCAUGAAAUCUCCGCGCUUAACGUGGAGAGGCUGUGCCAGACUGGCAGUCUAGAGUACGAGAGAGGGUUGUGGAAUUCCGGGUGUAGUGGUGAAAUGCGUAGAGAUCCGGAGGAACACCAGAGGCGAAGGCGGCGAACCUGGACCAUUACUGACGCUGAGGCGCGAAAGCUAGGGGAGCAAACGGG
rnacentral:rRNA from 1 species